ensembl:lncRNA
CAAAACACAGCGUGGAGGAGACGACUGCGAGCGAGACAUUUACAAACCAACUUAUGGAUCCAGCGCGUGGAAACAUUUUGGCUUUUGCAAACACGUCGGUCGCUGUUUGUAGAAUAUGUAGAAGCCAAAUAAAAAACCACGGAAACACGACGAAUCUUUCCGGCCAUCUACUAAGGCGCCGUGGGAUGAAACAACGCCGACAGUCAGGACCUCUAGCAGCGUCACCGCUGCAGCAGCAGCAGGUUGAGGUCACCCUCCACACAAAAGAAUAAAAACUACAAGUCCCAGACAGAAAGAAACAUCAAUGCACACAAACUGAUCCAAUUAUGUUCACUGCAGAAAAACAGGAUAAUUCACAUGCAUUUUCGAAUGAAAACAAAACACAUAAAUAUCACAUGAACAUGUGACACUGAAGGACGGAUGGUUUGAGUUAAGGAAGGAAGGGGGACCUGGCUGUGGGGGUUGGGAGCACGAUCCCAGACCAUAAAACCUGGCAGCCGCCCUCCUGCAUUGUUCGCCACCACCAUUCCGGCCCAGUUUCUCUGUUUUCUCCCUGGGCUCCGUGUAUCCUGUCCUUCAAGAGGCAGUAAAUGUUGUUGUUGUUCAUAAGACAC